AAAUUGAAGAGUUUGAUCAUGGCUCAGAUUGAACGCUGGCGGCAGGCCUAACACAUGCAAGUCGAACGGUAACAGGAAGCAGCUUGCUGCUUUGCUGACGAGUGGCGGACGGGUGAGUAAUGUCUGGGAAACUGCCUGAUGGAGGGGGAUAACUACUGGAAACGGUGGCUAAUACCGCAUAACGUCGCAAGACCAAAGAGGGGGACCUUCGGGCCUCUUGCCAUCAGAUGUGCCCAGAUGGGAUUAGCUUGUUGGUGAGGUAACGGCUCACCAAGGCGACGAUCCCUAGCUGGUCUGAGAGGAUGACCAGCCACACUGGAACUGAGACACGGUCCAGACUCCUACGGGAGGCAGCAGUGGGGAAUAUUGCACAAUGGGCGCAAGCCUGAUGCAGCCAUGCCGCGUGUAUGAAGAAGGCCUUCGGGUUGUAAAGUACUUUCAGCGGGGAGGAAGGUGUUGUGGUUAAUAACCGCAGCAAUUGACGUUACCCGCAGAAGAAGCACCGGCUAACUCCGUGCCAGCAGCCGCGGUAAUACGGAGGGUGCAAGCGUUAAUCGGAAUUACUGGGCGUAAAGCGCACGCAGGCGGUCUGUCAAGUCGGAUGUGAAAUCCCCGGGCUCAACCUGGGAACUGCAUUCGAAACUGGCAGGCUUGAGUCUUGUAGAGGGGGGUAGAAUUCCAGGUGUAGCGGUGAAAUGCGUAGAGAUCUGGAGGAAUACCGGUGGCGAAGGCGGCCCCCUGGACAAAGACUGACGCUCAGGUGCGAAAGCGUGGGGAGCAAACAGGAUUAGAUACCCUGGUAGUCCACGCCGUAAACGAUGUCUACUUGGAGGUUGUGCCCUUGAGGCGUGGCUUCCGGAGCUAACGCGUUAAGUAGACCGCCUGGGGAGUACGGCCGCAAGGUUAAAACUCAAAUGAAUUGACGGGGGCCCGCACAAGCGGUGGAGCAUGUGGUUUAAUUCGAUGCAACGCGAAGAACCUUACCUGGUCUUGACAUCCACAGAAGAAUCCAGAGAUGGAUUUGUGCCUUCGGGAACUGUGAGACAGGUGCUGCAUGGCUGUCGUCAGCUCGUGUUGUGAAAUGUUGGGUUAAGUCCCGCAA
rnacentral:rRNA from 1 species